AGGGCUAAUAUCAGUCGUGUCAUUUAUUUAUUGACAAUCAAAAUCACAGUAUAUAACAUUUCUGUUUAUAUCUUGGUACAAAAUAUAUCGUGUUGGAGUUUUCCCCAGUGCAGCAUACCUGUAGACAGCACUGCGUGUAUUAGUUCAUAUGUUGCAAGAUUAUACGGAAAGGAAUUAAAACUGUGUAAAAGGCUGCACUUGCAUCAAAUUUGUAAUCUAGCUUAUCAACAACAGAGGGAGAGGGAGAGACUUAAACAAAACUCAAACUAUAUUAUUGAGUGUGUGCAUCUAUUGAUUUCCCUUUCUUAA